rnacentral:rRNA from 1 species
AGUGAACGCUGGCGGUAGGCCUAACACAUGCAAGUCGAACGGCAGCACAGUAAGCGCUUGCUCUUACGGGUGGCGAGUGGCGGACGGGUGAGGAAUACAUCGGCAUCUACUUUUUCGUGGGGGAUAACGUAGGGAAACUUACGCUAAUACCGCAUACGACCUACGGGUGAAAGCAGGGGAUCUUCGGACCUUGCGCGAUUGAAUGAGCCGAUGUCGGAUUAGCUAGUUGGCGGGGUAAAGGCCCACCAAGGCGACGAUCCGUAGCUGGUCUGAGAGGAUGAUCAGCCACACUGGAACUGAGACACGGUCCAGACUCCUACGGGAGGCAGCAGUGGGGAAUAUUGGACAAUGGGCGCAAGCCUGACCCAGCCAUACCGCGUGGGUGAUGAAGGCCUUCGGGUUGUAAAGCCCUGUUGUUGGGAAAGAAAAGCAGCAGGUUAAUACCCCGCUGUUCUGACGGUACCCAAAGAAUAAGCACCGGCUAACUUCGUG